CAGUUUGGGGCCAGCUGUGUGGCAACUGCUUGAGUCAGUGUAAUCAGGAAACCGGAGAAUGUUCCGGAAAGUGUGCUCUCGGCUGGGAUGGUCCUACUUGUUCCAGACGAAAUGUGGCAUUUAACCAAAGCACGACGCAGUCUUCGGAUUAUAGCGAGGGAGGGUUCAGCUUCACCUCCGGACUCGCCGUUGAUGGUAGGACUGGACCUGAUUUUUAUGCGACACCAAAUACAUGUACUCACACCAGAGAAAAUCCACAUCCCGCGUUUUGGACGGUGACACUGGAUGCACAGUACAGCAUCUAUCGGUUCAGGAUAUAUAACAGGGAAGCUUCUCCGUGUUCCCCUCCGUGUGGUGAACGACUUAACGGCUUCUCUCUGUCCGUUGGAAAUUCCUCCCAGAGUUACAAAAUCUGUUACCAGGACACCACCACGACCCCAAUAGGUCCCGGGGAUAUCAUCAACGGAGUUUGUAACGUCAGUGGUCCUGUGUUUGGGAACACUGUAAAUAUCUCGAUAAACACUUUCAAACCACUUACUCUGUGUGAAGUACAGAUUUUCGUAUGUGCCCCCGGGACGUAUGGACCAGACUGUGGGAGGAGAUGUGGGAACUGUGCUCAGGGACCAUCUGUGUGUAAUACAACAUCCGGGCACUGUCCACAGAGAACACCCAGGUGCAUGGAGGGAUA